rnacentral:rRNA from 1 species
GGAUGUAUAGCAAUAGCUAGUUGCAUCAUAGUAGAUAUGAUGCAAGAUCGACUAUGUUGAAUAAAAUUCUAGGUAGAAUUAUGAUAAUGACAUUGUCUGCCUAUGUGUCUUGACCAAAUUACGUGCCAGCAGUCGCGGUAAUACGUAGAAGACUAGUGUUAUUCAUGUUUAAUCGGUUUAAAGGGUACCUAGACGGUAGAUCAAGCUUUCUAAUAAAGGAAAAGGACUAGUUUACUAGAGUUACUUAUGAGGGGGUAUUAAAGUACUGCUGGUGUAGAGAUGAAAUUCUGUCAUACCUCUUUUCAAAAGAAAAACCAUGGCACAGGUAUAGGCGAAGGCAUCCCCUUAUGUGAUAACUGACGUUGAGGGACGAAGGCUUUGUGUAGCGAACAGGAUUAGAUACCCCAGUAGUCGAAGCAGAAAAUGAUGAAUGUCAUAGAUUAGAUAUAUAAGUUUAUUCUAUAAAUGAAAGUGUAAGCAUUCCACCUCAUGAGUAAUUUGGCAACAUUGGAACUGAAAUCAUUAGACCGUUUCUGAAACCAGUAGUGAAGUAUGUUGUUUAAUUUGAUGUCCCGCAAAAACCUUACCACAAUUUGAAUAUUUAUAUUGUUUAUUGUUUUAUUAUUAAUUUUCUUGAAGAAAAUUAAGAAAAAAGCAAUAAGAUAUAAUUACAGCGUUGCACGGCUGUCUUCAGUUAAUGUCGCGAGACUUUGGUUAGUUCCAUUAAUUAACGUAACCCUUACUUUAU